GACUCACACUCUUCUGAAACAACUCACAAAGAGUCUGAGGAAAGUGAUAUCACCAGCGAGUUGAGUACCACAAUUAUUCAAGGCAGUCCAGCCGCAUUGGAGGAACAGGCUAUGGAAAAAUUGAGAGAAAAAGUUCCAUUUCAGAAUAGAGGAAAAGGAACAUUAUCAUCUAUUAUCCAGAAUAACUCUGAUACAAGAAAAGCAACUGAAACUACUUCUCUGAGUAGCAAGCCUGAAUAUGUAAAACCUGACUUUAGAUGGAGUAAAGAUCCUUCCUCCAAAAGUGGAAAUCUGUUGGAAACCAAUGAGGUAGGUUUGACAUCAAACCCUGAGGAAUUGGACCCAAUCAGGCUGGCUCUCCUGGGCAAGUCAGGUCUGAGCUGUCAGGUGGGGUCAGCCACAUCACGCCCUGUGUCCUGCCGGGAGCCUAUAGAUGAAGAUCAAAGAAUAAUUCCUAAAGAUAAGUCAACUGCUGGCUGUGAGUUCAGUGGCCAGGUUUCUCAUCAGACCACCUCUGAAAACCAGUGUACUCCUAUUCCCAGCAGCACAGUUCACAGCUCUGUGGCUGACAUGCAGAACAUGCCUGCUGCUGCGCACGCACUCUUGACACAACCCUCUCUCAGCGCUGCUCCCUUUGCUCAGCGGUAUUUGGGAACACUCCCUUCAGCUGGAAGCACCACCUUGCCUCAGUGCCAUGCUAGCAGUGCCACAGUCUGUGGCUUCUCAGGAGGCCUUCCCUAUCCAGCUGUUGCAGGAGAGCCUGUGCAGAACUCUGUGGCUGUGGGAAUUUGUCUAGGAUCAAAUAUCGGCUCUGGAUGGAUGGGUACCUCUUCCCUCUGUAACCCAUAUUCUAAUACCUUAAAUCAGAACCUGCUAAGCACAACAAAACCUUUUCCUGUGCCGUCUGUUGGUACAAACUGUGGAAUUGAACCGUGGGAUUCAGGAAUGACAUCAGGAUUGGGUAGAAACAGAAAAGAAAGAUGUUCUUGAUUUUGGUGACUUGACUUAUGGAGGCUGGAAAGCCCUCCCACUAAAAUUGAUAAACCGAACGCAUGCCACUGUGCCAAUUAGACUGAUUAUUAAUGCUAACGCUGUAGCGUGGCGCUGUUUCACGUUUUCCAAGGAACCCGUCCGAGCUCCUGUGGAAGUUGCUCUUUGCGCUGAUGUGGUCACUCGGCUAGCAGGCCCUUCUGUGGUCAACCACAUGAUGCCUGCUAGUUAUGAUGGACAGGUGGGAGAGAACUGGCUUAGAAUUAAAGAGGAAAGUCCAAAGAAACAGAUCAGCUCUUCAGAGAUUCUGGACUCAGCAGAAGAAUUCUCGGCAAAAGUUGAUAUAGAAGUUGACAGCCCAAACCCUAUGCCCAUUCUUAGAAGUGUGAAUCUCCAAGCAAGGGCAGGCAUAGCUAGGAUCCACGCUCCCAGGGACUUGCAGGUCCCAGAACAAGGAGGUCACUUUUCAGUGGAUCCAAAGAAUCUAUUCCUUAAACCUGGAGAAGAACAUGAGGUUAUUGUUUCAUUUACUCCAAAGGAUCCUGAAGCCUGCGAGGAAAGGAUCUUGAAAAUAUUUGUGCAACCAUUUGGACCUCAGUAUGAAGUAGUGUUAAAAGGCGAAGUCAUUUCUUCAGGAAGUAAACCUCUGUCACCUGGACCUUGCUUAGAUAUUCCAUCGAUUUUGUCCAACAAACAAUUUCUGGCUUGGGGAGGAGUCCCUCUUGGUAGAACACA
rnacentral:sRNA from 1 species